GAUGAUGUUCCAAACAUUCUCAAUUCACUUGCAUUGCAAAUGGCAGCAGAGAUAGUUCCGCCAUAUAUUUGUGUGCAAACAUUAUUAUAUCAUUUACAAAAUUAAUUUCUACUUGCAUUUUCUCUGAACCGCACAACGUUUUCGGUACAACGCACGUUGUCGGAAAAAUUUGUGUCACUGUUUUGCUCUUUUUCGUUGUUCAUAACAUUUUUUAGCAAUGUAAUCGUGUUCAUAAUAUUUGUAGGUGCAAGGUAUAGUCAUAGUUGCUUAAUCGACACAUCAUUUAAAAAUAAAUUCAAAUAUCUCUGGUGUUGGUUGACCUAAUUUGAAUUUUUCUGACAGAAAACCGUCUGUUUCAAUUGUGCAUCGAUUCAGUGAAUAAUCAACUGCACUGUCGUCGACUUCUCUCAGAACAUAUUUUCUGUUCGUAAAGUCUGAAUAUAAGUCUAAAAACAGCUCACAGUUAUCAAACGGAGCCCACCUACUGUAAACAACCAUAUCCACAAGAUUUAGCUUUAUCAAAUCUUUUAUAUUUUGGUCGAUUUUAAUAAAUGGGGUGCAUUGUGUUACACUAAGUUCUUUCGUAAGUGGUUUUCAGCUAUAUAAAAGCCCGAUUGCGUGAAUGUUCUCGGCGGGUGCCGAAAAACAAAUUCUUUUGAAACCAUAACUACGAAUAAAGCUGCGAUCUUGUGCGUUUUAUCUAAAUAUUAACGGAUUUGUUCAGUCGUGGAUGACGUGUUAGUGGUCUCCGUGUGCGGAAACAAUGAAGACUUCACCUUUGUAACGUCUUCACAUCUGUGAAAUGCAUUUACAAUAACUAUUUCAUGUAUUUCUUUACUACCAUACCUAUCUAAACCUAUUUCAAACUCAAAUGAGGAUAUAAUUUAUUUAUUAUCGUGACAAAGUCGACCAAUCUGGUCAUAUACCCCGAAUACAUGGAUACAGAUUUGUUUUCAAAUACACUGCACGGAUUUUCGGGUUUUCUUUUACUGUGUGGUAGGUUUUUCCUCGUGAUAUUGGAUUUUCGCAGUUUUCAGGAGACUGUUGGGAUAUAUAUAUAUCCUAUCAUCAGUGCCUGCCUAAAUAAAAAAGUAGCUAAAUAACGCUGAUCUGAUUUUUCUUGGGUUUGUGAAAUUUUUGUUUGUGUCAUGCAAAAAUUUUAAUAACAGAGUAUUCCGUUUUAAAGAAUCUUCACUAGUAUCAAUGGAAUGACAAUAUUGAAAGAUAAUAUUGGCCGUUUCCAUUAUGUUAAUAUUUACUGUUCCUUCUCUGGACUCAGUUUUAACCCUCUGAUCGUUUGUUGCGUUUACACCUUAACUUCGUUUCAUGGGGCGUACAGCGCCCCAAGUGCAUUUUGUAUAAAAACUUGAUUGUAAUAUGAGAUAGCGACUUAGUGUCUUUGACAAAGUUGUAGUACUUAACCCGCUCUACAACAUUGCUGAAGACACAUAUUGCUUAUCUCUUAUCAGUUCCGCGAAAUACGCGAAAAACCGCGAAAACGUGAAUUUUCGGCUCCUCAUUUUUCACGGAAUUGACAAGAUGUAAAUGAUGAGUGCUUUCAAUCAUCACUACAAUUUUUUGAAGACACCAUCUCCUUAUCUCUUAUCAGUUCCGCGGAAAAUGAUAAGAGAAAAUUCGCGUUUUUCGCGAUUUUUCGCGUAAAUGAUAAGAGAUAACGAAUUGGUGUCUUCGGCAAAGUUGUAGUAUUCAGCCGGCACUAUAAAUUUUCCGAAAACAGAUAUCGCUUAUCUCUUAUCAGUUACGCAAUAUACGCGAAAAACCGCGAAAGAUCUCCCACUGCUCUACAGCUUUCCUGAAGACAGAUAUCUAUUAUCUCUUAUCAGUUCCGUGAUAAAUGGAAAACCGAAUAUUUGCGUUUUCGCGGUUUUUCGCGUAUUUUGCGGAACUGAUAAGAGAUAAGCGAUAUCUGUCUUUAGUAAAGAUGUAGAGGACCUCUAGUACUACAUAUUUGCCGAAGACAUUAAAUCGUUAUCUCUUAUCACAGUCCAGUUUUCAUGAAAAAAUACACUUGGGGCGUCGUACGCCCCAAUUCUGUCAAUUAUCAGUUCCAAAAAUUUGUUUAUUCCAUUUUCAUCUUUUUCAGCAAUACAUUUUUUUUAUAUUCGGUUUAUUUAUAAUGCCUCGGUAAAUUAAGCUUUUUAUUUUUUCGUUGCUAUUUUAUAUCUUGUCCAAUCGUUCAGAACGAGAUAACAGGUACAAAUAUGGGAUUGGUUUUAUUCCGAUUGAUAUAAAAAUAAGUCAAAAAAGUGUAUUGUACAUAUAUGUAUAAAUUGAAGAUAAUCAAAAAUAUUACAUUAUAGUUACAUGGUUGACUAGUUAAUAGUUGCCAUUGAUUGAGAAAAGAACAGCAGAAGCUUUGCGAGAUAACCGCUGGCCACUGUUCGAAAUGAAUUUAAAUAGCAAAAUUAACAAUGUGAAAAUACUUUUUGAUUUCAAUUAAUAGCUCAAAGAUACGUAUAUUCCGUUACGGAACGGACACAUUAAACAUUUAAUCAGAAUGUAAAUAUACGGAAAAUAUGCUUUUAAAAACAUAAAAUACUUAAGACAAACGAAAUGAAAUUAAAUGGGCCAGUAAUAUUUUGCAGGGUAGCUUUUUUUGUUACAUCUUUCGAUCUUUCGUAUGUUUUGUAAUUCAAUCGAUUUUAAACACAAUAAUUUUUGAGGCAUUUUUUAAAACCCAACUAAAUCUAAAAGUAUGUUGACUAUAAAAAAAACUCUUGAUUUUUUUUCCCCAAAGAAUAUUCGAGAGAUUGAUGCACAGUUCAAUGAAAUAAAUUCAAUCAUCAAUAUUGGAAAAAUUGAUACUAAAUAAUAAUAAUUUGACCAAUUUAGCACGUCUACCACCAUUAGGCAACUUAAAGUAUUUGUUAAUUGACAGAAAUGGCAUCGAAUUCACUGAUUUUAACGAUCUUUCUUAUCCCGGAAAAUUGUGGUAUUUAGUGAUAGAGCUAAAUCUAAAACAAAAUAUUAGUGCGGCUGAAUUUAAACAAUUUUACCAUAUCUUAGAGUAUUGUACAUAUGUUUUCCUGGCCAGAGUUUGACUCAGGCGACAGAUAUAUGCUUUAGCAUAGAAAAAAUAUCCGCAUAUUUUUUGGUUUGUCCACUCUCAGUAUAUAACGGCACCCAGCUUCAUCGAGUAUCAGCACGCACACUGAACGUAGUAAUAUAGAUUAUAGAACGGUUUGUUUACAAAGAAAAAAAAUUGUUUAUAAACAAAAUCUUCCAGAGUUGUACAGCGCAAUGUAUUUGGACGGCAGCAAUGCUGUCCUAUGUUAAGGUUUUGCGCUUUAUAGUUCUGGUAGAUUUUGUUUAUAAACAAUUUUUUUCUUCGUAAACCAACCGUCCUAUACUACCACGUUCAGUGUGCGUGCUGAUACUCGAUGAAGCUGGGUGCCGUUAUAUACUGAGAGUGGACAAACCAAAAAAUAUGCGGAUAUUUUUUCUAUGCUAAAGCAUAUAUCUGUCGCCUGAGUCAAACUCUGUUCCUGGCAUGAGUAUCGACCAGCAAAAACGAAUUUUAUACGAUUUUAAACGCCACGAAAUUUUUCAUUUAAUUUUGUUUUGCGGCAUUUGGUGGGAAAAAACAAUAAAAACCCAAAUAUUAGAGUAAUUUUCUUUGGUUUUUCAAUUUUCGUGAUUUUCUUAAUUAUCUGUAAAAUUCAUGUAUUUAUUAAAAGUAGUAGAUAAGUUGAAAUUGUUAGCUGUAUCAGAUAAGUCAACAACACUCGCUCUGCAGGCCAUUCGCAUGAUGAUCGAAAUUCAUUCAAAAAAUGCUGUGCUCCAAAUGUUCAAUACCAAAAAAAAUCCAUCGAUCGAUUCUAAGAAUCUGAAAGUAACUUCAUGAAAAUAUUUCAAGAAGUAAUUGAAGCCGCCAUCUCAACGAAGGAUCAGCCAACGAAUAUCCGUUGAAGAUCAUAACUAUGCGAAAACUUGUGUUUCUGAUCAGAAUUAACGAAACCAUUACGCUAUUGGUGACGGAAACAGACAUCGUUGAAUGCGAGGCUCAGAAGAAGGGAUGCAUGCAAGAUUGUAAAAAAACCGCGCUUGUGAAAUGCCAUUCAUUGAUCAAUCAUCCGUUGAAUCUACGACGAAAAAAGAAAAAGCGAGAAAAUGAAACGGAUUCUUUAGCAUGGAUUCCAAUAUCAAUUCGAUCACAUUUCCUUCAUCGUGCCCACUCGAGUGGUGGAACGACUCAGAUGUGGAUCGAAAGUCAAUACUCAACACGGCAUUUUUGUCUGUAGAGGCAUAUUGGACCAAUAGCCAAGCUUAGCAGCCCUGAUCUUUGAAUGAUUUCAGCUCAGACCAACUAAUAACCAAAAGAGAGAUAAGAACGACCGACGACCACAAUUCACCGUAUCAAUCAAGAAAAAGAAGGUGAAUGAACUUCAAAAUGAUUGGCAGCUGAUCUUUACGUCCACUUCGACUGUGGCUUUACUAUGUUGAAUAGACUUCUGCAGCAAACCAUUUGAAACGAUCAAUACAAGAGCGACAUCUUAAAUACUCUACGGUCAAACUACGAUUAGUUGAAAAAAAGCAACGCACUAUAAAAUAAUAAAAUGCGAUAUGACGUUUUAUUUAGUUUUUCACAGUAACUUUAUUAAAAUAAUGUAAGAGUCGAAAAAUCGGCACCCGCGCCCGUUCCAUACAAACGGAACCUCUGCUAGAAGUCUGAACGAUGAACGUAGUCGGUUCAUCUUACUUAUACUAAUUUCUGAAUCUUAAAUUAGCCGUAUCACAUUGUGAAUGAAUCAUUUCUAUCGAAUGAUCCAUCAUCUCCAUCGAAUAACAAGCCGUCUCCAUGAAUGAAUGACUAAGGAGAACAACUGCUCUGUGUGAGAUAUUUAUAAUGAUGGGAUGAUCGGAUGAUCUAAUUAGAAUGAUUCACUUGGAUGGCCCAUGGGCACAAAAAUAGAAUAUUGAGGAUAGGAUUAUUUUACUGUGUUACAUAGUGAGGUGAUUCAUCUAUAUCACAUGGCAGUGACUGUCUAUAUUGAUACGCAUACGCCAAUGUAUGAAUAAUAUUGUUGUUGAUACUUAAUUCGUAAAUAGUUUCAUUACAGCACAUCACUUCAAUUUCUUUUUGAAAUCAACAUAAAGUUCGAACAAAUACUGUAAUCUUGGCAAUAGAAUGUAGUUUAGAGCAAUUAAAAUAUGUGAAACCACAUACGUAAUUUGGUAUGAUGACACAUUUUAUAAUGAAUAAAUUUAAGAAUUGAUUCCGAGAUAAGGUUAGAAAACAGAACUUUAAUAUAACUGUAUCCUUGGACUGAAAAUAAAAUCGGUAAAUUUAA